GUCUGCAACCCGACUCCGUGAAGCUGGAUUCGCUAGUAAUCGCGCAUCAGCCAUGGCGCGGUGAAUACGUUCCUGGGCCUUGUACACACCGCCCGUCAAGCCAUGGGAGCCGGGGGUGCUUGAAGUGCGUCGCCGCAAGGCGCGCCCUAGAGCAAAACCGGUGACUGGGGCUAAGUCGUAACAAGGUAAC
rnacentral:rRNA from 1 species